rnacentral:rRNA from 1 species
UGAGGAAUAUUGGUCAAUGGACGGAAGUCUGAACCAGCCAAGUAGCGUGCAGGAUGACGGCCCUAUGGGUUGUAAACUGCUUUUGUAUGGGGAUAAAGUUAGGGACGUGUCCCUAUUUGCAGGUACCAUACGGAUAAGGACCGGCUAAUUCCGUGCCAGCAGCCGCGGUAAUACGGAAGGUCCAGGCGUUAUCCGGAUUUAUUGGGUUUAAAGGGAGCGUAGGCUGGAGAUUAAGUGUGUUGUGAAAUGUAGACGCUCAACGUCUGAAUUGCAGCGCAUACUGGUUUCCUUGAGUACGCACAACGUUGGCGGAAUUCGUCGUGUAGCGGUGAAAUGCUUAGAUAUGACGAAGAACUCCGGUUGCGAAGGCAGCUGACGGGAGCGCAACUGACGCUUAAGCUCGAAGGUGCGGGUAUCAAACAGGAUUAGAUACCCUGGUAGUCCGCACAGUAAACGAUGGAUGCCCGCUGUUGGUACCUGGUAUCAGCGGCUAAGCGAAAGCAUUAAGCAUCCCACCUGGGGAGUACGCCGGCAACGGU